CCUACGUGUGGCAGCAGUAGGGAAUUUUGCUCAAUGGGGGAAACUCUGAAGGAGCAACGCCGCGUGGAGGAUGAAGGUUUUCGGAUUGUAAACUCCUUUUGUUAGAGAAGAAAAUGACGGUAUCUAACGAAUAAGCACCGGCUAACUCUGUGCCAGCAGACGCGGUAAUACGGAGGGUGCAAGCGUUACGCGGAAUCAUUGGGCGGAAAGAGCGCGUAGGCGGGAUAGCAAGUCAGAAGUGAAAUCCUAUGGGUUAAACAUAAAAAUGCAUUUGAAACUGUUAUUCUAGAGUAUGGGAGAGGUGGGUGGAAUUCUUGGUGUAGGGGUAAAAUCCGUAGAGAUAAGGAGGAAUACUCGUUGCGAAAGCGACCUGCUAGAACAUAACUGACGCUGAUGCGCGAAAGCGUGGGGAGCAAACAGGAUUAGAUACCCGUGUAGUC
rnacentral:rRNA from 1 species